rnacentral:rRNA from 1 species
UACAGAGGGUGCGAGCGUUAAUCGGAAUUACUGGGCGUAAAGCGCGCGUAGGCGGCUUUGCAAGUCGGGUGUGAAAUCCCCAGGCUUAACCUGGGAACUGCAUUCGAGACUGCAUUGCUAGAGUAUGGGAGAGGGAAGUGGAAUUUCCGGUGUAGCGGUGAAAUGCGUAGAUAUCGUAAGGAAGACCAGUGGCGAAGGCGAGUCUCUGGACAGUUACUGACGCUGAGGCACGAAGGCCAGGGGAGCAAACGGG